rnacentral:rRNA from 1 species
UACGGAGGAUGCGAGCGUUAUCCGGAUUUAUUGGGUUUAAAGGGUGCGUAGGCGGUUUUUUAAGUUAGUGGUUAAACGUCGGGGCUUCACCUUGAUUUGCCAUUAAUACUGUAAGACUCGAGUUCAGACGAGGUAGGCGGAAUAAGUUAAGUAGCGGUGAAAUGCUUAGAUAUAACUUAGAACUCCGAUAGCGAAGGCAGCUUACCAGACUGCGACUGACGCUGAAGCACGAGAGCGUGGGUAGCGAACAG